rnacentral:rRNA from 1 species
UACAGAGGUCUCAAGCGUUGUUCGGAUUCAUUGGGCGUAAAGGGUGCGUAGGUGGCGCGCUAAGUCAGGUGUGAAAUUUCGGAGCUUAACUCCGAAACUGCAUUUGAUACUGGCGUGCUUGAGGACUGGAGAGGAGACUGGAAUUCAUGGUGUAGCAGUGAAAUGACGUAGAGAUCAUGAGGAAGACCAGUGGCGAAGGCGGGUCUCUGGACAGUUCCUGACACUGAGGCACGAAGGCCAGGGGAGCAAACGGG